AUUGAACGCUGGCGGCAGGCCUAACACAUGCAAGUCGAGCGGAUGAAGGGAGCUUGCUCCUGGAUUCAGCGGCGGACGGGUGAGUAAUGCCUAGGAAUCUGCCUGGUAGUGGGGGAUAACGUCCGGAAACGGGCGCUAAUACCGCAUACGUCCUGAGGGAGAAAGUGGGGGAUCUUCGGACCUCACGCUAUCAGAUGAGCCUAGGUCGGAUUAGCUAAUUGGUGGGGUAAAGGCCUACCAAGGCGACGAUCCGUAACUGGUCUGAGAGGAUGAUCAGUCACACUGGAACUGAGACACGGUCCAGACUCCUACGGGAGGCAGCAGUGGGGAAUAUUGGACAAUGGGCGAAAGCCUGAUCCAGCCAUGCCGCGUGUGUGAAGAAGGUCUUCGGAUUGUAAAGCACUUUAAGUUGGGAGGAAGGGCAGUAAGUUAAUACCUUGCUGUUUUGACGUUACCAACAGAAUAAGCACCGGCUAACUUCGU
rnacentral:rRNA from 1 species